GGCGGCACAAGAAAGCAGUUACUGCUCGUGGGGAGGGGGCAAACCGAGGACUGAGGGAAGGGCUAAGCUUACACAGCUUUGAGAAGGGCUUUAUAAGAGGAAGACCACAAAUUAUGAAUAAAAACUUAGAAAUAUAGGCCUUGGGAGGGGCCUCUGCCAGUUCUGGGCCAGAAGUUCAGCAGAGAUAGCUUCCCAGGGACCCUCUUGAGGAAAUGUAGUCGGGGCUCACUGAUCAGUCCUGCCUCCUUCCUCCUGCAGUGCACGCUCCCUGCUGCCUCCAGCCUGACCUGCACAGGAGCCCGGCGGCUGCUGGGCACAGGAUCCCAAGAAACAAAGCACCAUAACUGAAAGCAGCAAAAGUGCAGAUGAGAGAUUUCUCCCCACUGAAGCAUCCACCUCAUGAGGCAGCCUGCACAGCUCCCAAACCCAGGAGAGACCGUCGGGUCCAAGAAAGACCUCAAGGCAGGAACGGAGGAGAUGGAAAGGUGCACUACCCUGAGUUCUAAAGAGGAAGGACGAGAACCAACCAACCGAGAGUUCAUGCUUCAUGCCGGGUUUGUUUGUUUUGUUUUGGUUUUGUUACUUUUUUGGAUACACCUGCAUAGUCUCCCCUUACUACAAAGCAAAUGCUGGUCGUGCGCUCAAUGCCCUGCCUGGCUUCUCCUGCCCAGUUUCAGAGCUUCAUCAAAGAUCCAGGACCUGGAUUAAGUCUCGCAUUUUUUGGCAUUAGGGUCUAAGGAAUGUCAAAAACACAACGGAGAAGAAGCUCUGGCUCCCUGGCUUCCUACUUCAGACCCCACGCUUGACGCAGUUGGCUGAACCUGGGGUCCGGAGAGCUCGCCACAAGGACGCAGCUGCACACGCAUGCGCAUGCUCACACGCAGCCUUACCUCUUCGCAGCCAAAGACUGCAGCUUCCGGCCCUGCUGAGUUCCCUCCUUCUGGGUGAGGCUGUCCCUGUUCUUAGGACCCUCCGUGUCCCCGUUUAGCACGCAGCUUAACCCUUCCUGUGACCAAGAUAGACUCAACCCCCAAAAACCGGCCUUGCUGCCUUCCCUCCUUCCAGCCCCACUGUGGGGGUGCCCGUCUUUGCCCCUCACUUCCUAUGAGCCCCUCAGAGCACUCCUAGGUAAAGAAAGACAUUUUGAGCUCAGUCCCGUCCAGUGCCAGGCCAGGGUGGGAGCUCACAAAGAGGAUGGUGGUGCGGUCCUGCCUGAAGGAGCCCCACUGGCCUAGUGUGCAUGUAUGUUUUGGCACCUCGGCCAGAUUUAAUGCUCCUGGUGCCCGUGCAAGACAGGGUCUGUCCCACAGCGCUCAAUUUUGUAAAUGUUUCACAGAAUCAUGACUCUGGAGGAUUGGAAGUAGCUUAAAUUAAACCAAUUUUAACUUGUUAAGUGGUUUUUUGGUUAAAUUCCUUGGAAUGAUUUGGACCCAUGCUAGAAGACAGAGUUGGAUGUUCAGGAGAGAAAUUUGGGUUAGAAGGAAAUGGGGUGUCAUUUCUGAGUACUCCAACUUUACUAGCUUCUGAAAUAAGCCAGAAGGUAGAGGUUUCUUUUUUGUUUAUCUUUACCAGGUGAGCAUUUUUCUGAAACAAAUCAUGGUAAGAGGAGGUUGGUCAAGAUACAAAAGCUUCUCCAGCUGAACAGGGCCAUUCAACCUAGAAAAACCUCUCUACUUAACUAAAUGUCACAUGGAAUAUGGUUUAAUUCCAUUUCUGUGCCUUGUCAGAUGGUCCAUGUACUCAGGGCCCCAGAGGGCAAAGCAUCUGGCAUGUUUAUUUACUUAACUUCAGUGGAAGCAACAAUUGCACAUGAUAAAUGUCACAGAUAUUUUUCAUUAAAUAUUAUCUUUAAAUUAUUAAAUGCUUUAGUUUUGAACAAGUAAUGUGCACAUGGUACAAAAGUCAAAAGAAUCAGGGGCCACCUUCCUACCCUUGUACGCGAGAGACACCGUUUCCUUGGGUCUGCUGGGCUGAAGGCAUGGAAUAUGCCUGCAACUUUCCAGAGAUAUUCUACGCAUACUCAAGCAGUAAGUACAUACCAAUAAGUAUUCUUGAUCAUGACUGUGUGGAUAUUUUUACUUUCUUUUUUCCACUGGCUUUGGCUCAGUGAGCUUUAUUAGAAGUGCUUGUGUGUUUACACGACACACGGAACACACAAUAGAAUGCAACAGUGCACAGACCAUGCGUGGAGGCCCGGGGCCUGGAGCCGCCACCAGACCUAUGCUCUGUCCACGCCGCAUGGGAGUGGAGCUUGUCUCCCCAGGAGACUGCGCACCUUCCCGAAGCGUGGCCAGACCUGAGUGGUGAGCCACACGGGGUGCUCGAAGAUGGAAAGAAAUUUGAUUCUUCAUGGGACAGAAACAAGCCCUUUAAGUUUAUGCUAGGCAAGCAGGAGGUGAUCCGAGGCUGGGAGGAAGGGGUGGCCCAGAUGAGUGUGGGUCAGAGGGCCAAGGCUGUGCCCCUAGACUGUGCCAACAGUGCCACUGGGUGCCCCGGCAUCAUCCCACCGCCACUCUUGUCUUUGACCUGGAGCUUCUAAAACUGGAAUGGCAGGAGUGGCCUCCUCCCCCAGCUCCCUGUUCUUGGAUUUGCCAGGGAGGGACCCUGUGUCUCCAGAUGUUCACGCAUGAGUCCAUCUGAGCUUUUCCUGAUACCCCACCGACCUCUGUCUGCAUAAACAGCUGCCCCGACUGAAUGUGCUCUGUCACUCAGCUUUGCCUCGGACUCCUCCGUUUCCUCUUCCCGUUCUCCUUGUGUGUUAUCUCAGCUCUGUGCCACAAACUCACAGUUACCUGUUUUGUCUUUGUUUUCGGUUGAAGGUUCAUUUUCAGUGUUUUGGAUCUAAUUUCCAAUAAAGUAUAUUGUCAAGUAUUAACAGCAAAGUGACAGGUUAACUUUAGAACAGUAAUUGGUGUUGGAGGGGUAGGGUUUGCAAGAAGCUUUAUUUUGGGGGGUGAAAUUCUUAUCCAUUAUAUGUUAAAUAUUUUUGCUGCUGCGUUGCAAAGCCAUAGCAGAUUUGAGAUGCUGCUGAGGGCUGAAUUAUUCUCCAUCGUGAGAGACGUCCUUGGGUUAAGGUAAAAGCCCCACUCAGAACUGAAGCGGGGACGGGGGCCUUAGCCUCUGCCAGCCCCAGCCAUCUGCCCCCCUCGAAGCUUUCACCUUCUGAAAGCAGGUCACUUGUCACCGCGGUGCCGGACACCACGGGCAUCUGUUCCGGGCCAGCAGGAACCUCUGCUGCCCUCUUCAUGACCCGACCCCCAGCCUGUGGUUUUUCUAAUGGAUUUUCAGGGCUUUUGUAAUCUCGUAACUAUCCCUGCUCCAACUCCCAAGUUUUAAGAACUUUAAUUGGAAGUUUAACUUGAGGGUGCUGCUUGUGGACUCAUCGCCCCGCGAAGCCCUGCCUUCACGCCAGACCCUCGCGUGUCCUCCUGAGAUGCUGCUGCUGGUCAUCGCGGCUCCAGCACCGCCCCCCCUUUCUGUUUUUUGCUUUUGUUUGAUUCUUGUGCCUGGCUCUCUCUCUGAUCUCGGAGUUCCCGGCUCUCCUUCUCCCAGCCGCUUCUCACCUUUGCUGUCCUGUGUAGGGAUUUGGUGACAGACGUUGUUGCUCUGCUCCCCACCCAACACACCCUCGGCACCACCCCUGAACCUCAUGUGAGUUUCAAGUUUUAUUAUUGCAAUAAAAGUGCUUUACGCUGGCGUUUCUCAAGAAAAAAAAAAAAAAAAAAAAGGAAAAAACAAAAGAAUAAGCGCAGUCGCCUAAAAGAUGACACCAACGUCCCCGAGAGGAUUGGAACCCAUGUCGGCAGUGUUGCGCGGCGCCUCCGGGGGCGCAGUGCCCAGCUCCGGCCACACGAUGGCGCCCGCUUCCUGCGGACCCGGCCCACGACGGCGGCGCAGACAAAGGCAGGAGCUGGGCCUCCCCUACGGGGCGGUGGAGGCGGCGGGCGCCCCGGGUGGCCGCGACCGCCUCUGCGCGCCGAGCCCGGCAGCUGGCGCCUGAGCCUUUGUCCUGCGCUGCCCGCCCUUGUCCAAAGCACAAGGCGAGAGGGCGCUGGGUGAGGCGGCGCCAGCGGGCAGCUCCCAUCCGGGCGUGCGGGCUUGGGUGCGGGCCAAGAAGCCGGACGCGCCGGGCGGCCGGGCUCCCAACCGCCCCCAGGAGUCCCCCUCGCCUCGCGCCGCUCGGCAGAGAGCGCGCCCGGGCGUUCUGCAGCGCGGGAGUCUUCCCCGCCCGCUGGACGACCGGGGGGCCGGCUGUCCUGCGUGCAGGAGAGGCCCCCACUUAGGCUGACCCGGCCGGGUGGGCCUCAGCGCGUGGCGCGCCCUCGCCGGGCUCUGC
rnacentral:lncRNA from 1 species